rnacentral:tRNA from 1 species
UCCCUAUUGACUCAGUGGUUAAGUAUCUGCCUGCAGUGCAGAAGACUCCGGUUCAGUCCCUGGGUUGGGAG